rnacentral:lncRNA from 1 species
GCACCUGCCGCUGGCCUCUGAGCGGCUGUGGAGCGGCGUUGGGCGCGCCCUGGGACCCUCACAGCGCUCACCGAAGGACACUUUCGGGCCCGGGUCCCGAGGCUCCGGCCGCAGACCCGAGGAGGAAAGGACCUAUUCUCCGUUCUUUUUCAGCAUCCCGGUCUUUCCCUCUUCUCUGCCCAGCAUGGCCCGAAACGACAGGAGAGCCUCUUCUGGAUCGGCCUUUCCAACCGCGGGCUGGAGGGAUUCUGCAUGAGGAUGGAGUCGCCGGUUUCCCGGGACCCACGCACAGCAGGCAUUUAGAGUUAGGCUGCUGCUCUUAUUUAAAGAGGGCUGAGAACACCCGCAAUCUGUUGGGAAGAAGUUCAGUUAGAAGACUUUCUUCACAUCUUGAGAAAGAAGGGAUUGAACCCCUUUCCUUUAGAGAACAGCCCUCUAUUUCGUCUGGGGCUCGUUACAGCAAGCACAGCUGAGGACUGCCUCCAGGAAUCUAGAAGAGCUUCCAGUGGAGCCCAUGGAAGAAUUGAAAGAAGUGGAAAAUUAUGCAAACCGCGUCUGUAACUUACCAGAGGCAAAAGAAGCAUUUUCUCAUGGUUGUGAAAAGGAAAGCAGACAGCCUAGACAUGAGUUUAAAGAGUUCCAACUCAAACCAGGAGUGCCAGUAAAGGAGGUUGAAAUGUGUCGAGAAGGCUUGUCUGACAUAGCUCUGAGCAGCCCCAGUGAACAGACUGCACACUUACUCAUGGAAAGAAGUACAAUCUUGAGGAAACUGGAAUUUGGGGAUCCCAAGCAAGAGUCACAAAGAGAUCUGAGCCAUAGCCUCCAGAAAGAAUUUCCCCAGGAGAAAUUUGAACAAAUCUACCAGCCUCUGCAAAGGGAACAUCAGAGACAUCAAGAACCUGCACAUCAGUCUAGAAAAAAUUUGAGCGAGGUG